rnacentral:rRNA from 1 species
GUGUCAGCCGCCGCGGUAAUACGGAGGAUCCAAGCGUUAUCCGGAAUCAUUGGGUUUAAAGGGUCCGUAGGCGGUUUAAUAAGUCAGUGGUGAAAGCCCAUCGCUCAACGAUGGAACGGCCAUUGAUACUGUUAAACUUGAAUUAUUAGGAAGUAACUAGAAUAUGUAGUGUAGCGGUGAAAUGCUUAGAGAUUACAUGGAAUACCAAUUGCGAAGGCAGGUUACUACUAAUGGAUUGACGCUGAUGGACGAAAGCGUGGGUAGCGAACAGGAUUAGAUACCCUCGUAGUCC